GAACGCACCUUGCGCCCUUUGGCUAUUCCGAAGGGCAUGCCUGUUUGAGUAUCAUGAACACCUCAACUCUCAUGGCUUGCCGUGAUGAGCUUGGACUUUGGGGGUCUUGUUGGCCUGUGAGCCAGCUCCUCUUAAAUGAAUUAGCUUGCCGGUGUUUGGUGGCGUCACAGGUGUGAUAACUAUUUACGCUUGUGGUUUUCCAUCAGAUAACCUUCAGUGAUGGAGGUUCACCGGGGCUUAUAAACGUCUCUCCUCGGUGAGGACAGCUUUUGACCUCGAAUCAGGUGGGACUACCCGCUGAACUUAAG
rnacentral:misc_RNA from 1 species